UUCCUCGUUUGCACCACAAUUUAGUCAAAGGCUAUGUGCAAAACCAUAUCCUCUAAAGGUAAACACAGAGAACUGGAAAUUCCAGUCAUCAACCAUAUGGUCCGACGUAUCGGUGGGUCCCACUUUCACUAACCAAGAAGUAAAUUAAACCAUUGCUUACACAAGCAACUCCAAACAACUAUUGGCCAACACGGUAAUUAUUUUCUCCCGUCGUCCACCCGUGUACUCUUACCCAAAAGUUGGGAGCCAGAGAUCAUACUUUCCCCCCAAUGGUUUGUUUUUAAUCCUGCCACUCUCCUUCCUUCCCACGAAAUGGCGCGACGACGCACCUAGCUACGGUUGGGAGUCCACCCCUGCAGGUCAUGAGAAUAAUCUUGAACAAAUCUCGAGCAAAUCUCUUGAUUAAUCCAUCGUUAGAUCAUUUUCAUAAUCCCCUCUUGUCUAAUCAUAAUGCUUGAACACUACUAGUACUUUGCAUCCGAUGGCCCCAUGUGAGUUGGGCCCAAGUCAUAAUCCAC
rnacentral:lncRNA from 1 species